rnacentral:rRNA from 1 species
AGAGUUUGAUCAUGGCUCAGAAUCAACGCUGGCGGCGUGCCUAACACAUGCAAGUCGAACGAGAAAGUGGAGCAAUCCAUGAGUAAAGUGGCGACCGGGUGAGUAACACGUGACUAACCUACCUUUCAGUGGGGAAUAACCUCGGGAAACCGGGGCUAAUACCGCAUAAUGUCUACGGACCAAAGGAGCAAUUCGCUGGAAGAGGGGGUCGCGGCCGAUUAGCUAGUUGGCGGGGUAACGGCCCACCAAGGCAAUGAUCGGUAGCCGGCCUGAGAGGGCGCACGGCCACACUGGAACUGAAACACGGUCCAGACUCCUACGGGAGGCAGCAGUGGGGAAUUUUGCGCAAUGGGGGAAACCCUGACGCAGCAACGCCGCGUGGAGGAUGAAGCCCCUUGGGGUGUAAACUCCUUUCGAUCGGGACGAUGAUGACGGUACCCGAUAGAAGAAGCACCGGCUAACUCUGUGCCAGCAGCCGCGGUAAUACAGAGGGUGCAAGCGUUGUUCGGAAUUACUGGGCGUAAAGGGUGCGUAGGCGGUGCGGUAAGUCUGUUGUGAAAGCCCACGGCUCAACCGUGGAGUGCAUUGGAAACUGCCGUACUUGAGUGCAGGAGAGAAGAGCGGAAUUCCAGGUGUAGCGGUGAAAUGCGUAGAUAUCUGGAGGAACACCUGUGGCGAAGGCGGCUCUUUGGCCUGUAACUGACGCUGAGGCACGAAAGCUAGGGGAGCAAACAGGAUUAGAUACCCUGGUAGUCCUAGCCGUAAACGAUGAGUGCUAGGUGUGGGGGGUACCCAAUCCCUUCGUGCCGUAGCUAACGCAUUAAGCACUCCGCCUGGGGAGUACGGCCGCAAGGCUGAAACUCAAAGGAAUUGACGGGGGCCCGCACAAGCGGUGGAGUAUGUGGUUUAAUUCGAAGCAACGCGGAGAACCUUACCUGGGCUUGACAUCCUCUGACAAGCCUAGAGAUAGGCUUUUCCCGCAAGGGACAGAGGAUAGGUGGUGCAUGGUUGUCGUCAGCUCGUGUCGUGAGAUGUUGGGUUAAGUCCCGCAACGAGCGCAACCCCUGUCUCUAGUUGCUAACAGGAAAGCUGAGCACUCUAGAGGGACUGCCGGGGAUAACCCGGAGGAAGGUGGGGAUGACGUCAAGUCCUCAUGGCCUUUAUGUCCAGGGCUACACACGUACUACAAUGGACGGCACAAAGAGUCGCAAACCCGCGAGGGGGAGCUAAUCUCAAAAAGCCGUUCUCAGUUCGGAUUGGAGUCUGCAACUCGACUCCAUGAAGCUGGAAUCGCUAGUAAUCGCGGAUCAGCACGCCGCGGUGAAUACGUUCCCGGGCCUUGUACACACCGCCCGUCACAUCACGAAAGCCGGUUGUACUAGAAGCCGGUAAGCUAACCGCAAGGAGGUAGCCGUCCAAGGUAUGACUCAUGAUUGGGGUGAAGUCGUAACAAGGUAACCGU